rnacentral:rRNA from 1 species
CUUUAAUUGUGAUGGAGUGACGGAGAAGGAUAAGCAUACCUAUUAUUGGAUUUAGGGGUAAGUAGUUACUGGUGAUUGUAGGCAAAUCCGCAAUCUAUAACUGGGAGCUAUGAUGCAUAGGACUUUUGUCUGAAUUUGCCAAUUCCAUGCUUCCUAGAAAAGCUUCUAAACUUAAUKUUAUUGAAACCUGUACCRAGAACGGACACACGUCCCCAAGAUGAGUAUUCUAAGGCGAGCGAGAAAACUAGUGUUAAGGAACUCUGCAAAAUGACCCCGUAAGUUCGCAAGAAGGGGCGCCUAUGGUAACACAUAGGCCACAGUAAAUUAUGAGGGGCAACUGUUUAUCAAAAACACAACUCUCUGCUAAACCGCAAGGUGAUGUAUAGGGGGUGAAGCCUGCCCAGUGCCCGAAGGUUAAGUGGAUGCGUUAG